GCCUUCGUGGUGUAAUGGUAGCACACUCGCCGUGUAUUCGAAAGGUUCAGGUUCGAUUCCCGGCGAGGGUA
rnacentral:tRNA from 1 species